GCCUGGCGUGGUGGUGCACACUUGUAAUCCCAGCAGAUGGGAGGCUGAGGCAGGAAAAUUGUAAGUUCACAGCCAGCCUCAGUAACUUAGCAAGAUCCUGAGCAACUCAGCAAGACCCUGUCUCUA
rnacentral:sRNA from 1 species